GUCUGUUUUGGGGUCGUGAGAGCGGUUUGAAACUAGGAGAAGAACAAUAUUUUACAAAGGACAUAUUUGUGUAGUGUGUUAUCAGUAGUUGUGCUAUUAAUAAAAAUGACUACUCUGUUUGCAUUCUUUAGGAAGUUUUAAACAGAAAUGAAAUUGCACAACUGACAAAUGAACCCAACAUAAUGUCAACAAGCAACAUACACAGGAAAUGACCUCAGCGUGGAACAUUGUGAUUGUGUCAGUGUGUGAGUGUCUGUGUACGUGCAUGUGGUUUGUGUAACGAUUUUACCACAGAACCGGAGGAAAGAGGUGACAUGUGUUCAAUGGAAGCAGCAGAUGCUAAAAAGAGGACACACACACACACACACACACACACACACACACACAGGGGAAGGCAGGGUAGCGAGAGCAGCUCUCUCCUUAUUUAACAUCAACCGGAGUGACGUCAACAAAACCCCAGAACUAGAACAUGGCAGUUUAUUCAGUCAUUAUUCAUCACUCAGGACAAGUAGGACUGAAACGCACAUGGUUCCACAGAGUCAAGGUGUAUAGUCAGAACAAGUAUGACUGAAACACACAUGGUUCCACAGAGUCAAGGUGUAUAGUCAGAACAAGUAUGACUGAAACACACAUGGUUCCACAGAGUCAAGGUGUAUACUCAGAACAAGUAUGACUGAAACACACAUGGUUCCACAAAGUCGUGCUUGGAAGUGCUCGGAUAACCAAAAUGAGUUUGGGAAAUAUUCGAAGAUACUGUUAGUCUUCAUGUCUCAUCUACUAUCUGAUGUAACCGAAGUGCCAAAUAACAAAAAUAAUCAGAACUGACUCCAAUUAGAUAUUAAGGAUCUAAUCUUGAAUAAGAUUUUCAACAUAUCGUCUAUACUGAGCCACUGACAAGAACAAUAAACCUUGACUUUAAAUUCUGGCUUGUUGUUUAUGUGGUGUUUUCAGUUCCAACUCUUUGAGGUGUUUAGUUUCAUUGUGUAGCUCCCAACAGAUAAACAAGGGCUGCAUCCCAAAUCAAAUUUUAUUUGUCACAUACUUCAAAUACAACAGGUGUAGUAGACCUUACAGUGAAAUGCUGACUUACAAGCCCUUAACCAACAAUACCGUUUUAAGAAAAAUAAGUGUGAAGAAAGUAUUUACUAAAAUAAAGUGAAGUAAAAAAUGUAUAAAUAAAAAAUGGAAGAAAAUAGAAAAAUAACAAAUAAUUAAAGAGCAAUAAUAAAAUAACGGUAGCGAGGCUAUAUACAGGGUCACCGGUACAGAGUCAAUGUGCGGGGGCACAGGUUAGCUGAGGUAAUUGAGGUAAUAUGUACAUGUAGGUAGAGUUAAUGCACCCUAGUGGGACCCUAGUCCCUCCUGAGUGGUGCAACGGUCUAAGGCACUGUGUCACAGUGCUAGAGGCGUCACUACAGACACCUGGUUCGAUUCCAGGCUGUAUCACAACCGGCUGUGAUUGGGAGUCCCAUAGGGCGGUGCACAAUUGGCCCAGCGUCGUCUGGGUUUGUGCCGUCAUUGUAAAAUAAGAAUUUGUUCUUAACUGACUAGUUAAAUAAAUAAAUAAAAAACUUUGACCAGGGACGAUAGUGCACUACAUAGGGAACAUGGUGCCAUUUGGGAUGCAUCCAAGGUAGACUAAUAGCCACACCUCUACGUCAACAUCAUCUUUAUCAGUUAACAUGUAGCACUGAGAAAACAGAACACACGCAGUGAACAAGGAAGGUCAUAAAUAUAACUUAUCAUGAAACGGAGAGGCUAUUAGCCUUCCUUAACUAAUACUGACAUAAAGUAUCAAUACAUCUAUCAAUACAUUUAUCAAUACAUGUAUCAAUACAUCUAUCAAUACAUUUAUCAAUACAUUUAUCAAUACAUGUAUCAAUACAUCCAUCAAUACAUUUAUCAACACAUUUAUCAACACAUUUAUCAAUACAUUUAUCAAUACAUGUAUCAAUACAUGUAUCAAUACAUUUUUUUUUAAAGUUCUGUGUUUUUUAGAUCUGCAUGGGACGUCAUUGGUUCCUCCGGACUGAAUGGCUUCUGUCAGCUAGUUCUGCCAGACUGGUUCCAAAUGGAACCCUAUUCCCUAUAUAGUGCACUAGUUUUGAACAGAGCCCUAUGUGGACCCUGGUAUAAAAAAAGUAGUGCACUUUAUAGGGAGUAGAGUUCCAUUUGGGACUCACACUGCAUCUACAGAUUAAACUGUGAAGUCUAGAAACAGUGUGACCUAUUUCUGCCAUCGUAGUUAAUGUUAUGACACUGAAACAAACAGAAACAGGG
ensembl:lncRNA